rnacentral:rRNA from 1 species
UCAGGCCUAACACAUGCAAGUCGAGGGAGAAUGUUGGAUUCGUCUGACAUGAAACCGGCGCACGGGUGCGUAACACGUAUGCAACCUACCUUUAACUGGGGUAUAGCUCAGAGAAAUCUGAAUUAAUCCCCCAUAAGACUACGACAUGGCAUCAUGAUGUAGUUAAAGCUCCGGCGGUUAAGGAUGGGCAUGCGGUACAUUAGCUAGUUGGUGAGGUAAUGGCUCACCAAGGCUACGAUGUAUAGGGGGUCUGAGAGGAUGAUCCCCCACACUGGUACUGAGACACGGACCAGACUCCUACGGGAGGCAGCAGUAGGGAAUAUUGGUCAAUGGACGCAAGUCUGAACCAGCCAUGCCGUGUGAAGGAUGAAGGCCCUAUGGGUCGUAAACUUCUUUUAUUAGGGAAGAAAAAACGGGAUGCGUCCUGUACUGAC